rnacentral:rRNA from 1 species
UACAGAGGUCUCAAGCGUUGUUCGGAUUCAUUGGGCGUAAAGGGUGUGUAGGUGGCGCGCUAAGUCGGGUGUGAAAUCUCCAGGCUCAACCUGGAGGGGUCAUUCGAUACUGCCGUGACUAGAGGUCGGUAGGGGAGUGUGGAAUUCCUGGUGGAGCGGUGAAAUGCGCAGAUAUCAGGAGGAACACCCGUAGCGAAGGCGGCACUCUGGGCCGAUUCUGACACUGAGGAGCGAAAGCGUGGGGAGCGAACAGG